rnacentral:rRNA from 1 species
AUUGAACGCUGGCGGCAGGCCUAACACAUGCAAGUCGAACGAGUGGCGGACGGGUGAGUAAUGUCUGGGAAACUGCCUGAUGGAGGGGGAUAACUACUGGAACCGGUAGCUAAUACCGCAUACCAUCGGAUGUGCCCAGAUGGGAUUAGCUAGUGGGUGGGGUAACGGCUCACCUAGGCGACGAUCCCUAGCUGGUCUGAGAGGAUGACCAGCCACACUGGAACUGAGACACGGUCCAGACUCCUACGGGAGGCAGAAGUGGGGAAUAUUGCACAAUGGGCGCAAGCCUGAUGCAGCCAUGCCGCGGGUGUGAAGAAGGCCUUCGGGUUGUAAAGCACUUUCAGCGGGGAGGCGUUACCUGCAGAAGAAGCAACGGCUAACUCCGUGCCAGCAGCCGCGGUAAUUC